UCGAGGAGACGCCGCCGUCGUCGUACGCACCUCGAUCCCCUCGAACGCCCGCGCACAGCCGCCCUCUCCCGUCUCCCCCACCCAUACCCGCUUUCUUCCUCGCCGGCGCCGCCCUCUUCCCCGCCCUCGAGCGGGGAUGCCCCGGAUCGAGUCGCGCAAGUCAGCGGGGCGGCGUCCAGAUCCGCCACGGCCACAUCUCGUCCAGAUGGAUGGCGCCGGGAGAGGUAGAUUGAGGGGGCGGGUACCGUGUGGGUCUUGGACGCCGCUCCCGCCCGAUCCGGUGAGGAGGCCACCGCCACCAUGACUCUGGAUACAGGUCGGCCCAUCGCCACUGGCAUGCCUUACCGCAAGGUCGACUCGGGCACCUCCUAUCAAUGGUUGCCGCGCAGAUGAUAGUAUGAUACCGAGGGGCAGCCAGAGUGCCAGACGCCGGCGUGGCGGGUAGACGAUGAUGCACCUUGCGACGCUGACAGUAUCUCCUGCUCCAGCGAAGCACAACGUCUCUUGUAGAAGAUAUCCUCCGCCUGCAGUGGGAUGUGUUCGUUUCCAGGGCCUUGGCAGGGGUGGCAUUGCAAGAACCUCACACAUGGUGAAGAAGAUGCAGUUGAAAAGCGACCGGCUCACUCCAUUAUUCGUUUGGACAUCGACAAUUAUUCGUUUGGAUGCAUUAUUAUCAGGUUGUUUCUUCUUAGUUUACUGACAGCAAGAAUUGAUAGCCUUUUCCUUUUGUACGUUGUGUUUCUUAAUCACCUAGCUUACCUGGAUUCAAGAGUAUGACUAUUGGUUGUUUUUUUGAGAGGAUGACUGUUGGUUGUUGAGAGGAUGACUGUUUGCCUCCAAGGAAGCUGCAGGGCUAAUCCAAGUAAGCAAGUUUUUUCUUAUCUGAUCCUAAAACAAAUGACUUGACAGAAUAAAGUAUAAGCAAUGGACUGCACUAAUAUAUACAAGUGCAUCAAUUGUUCUGCUAGCUUUUACAUAAUGAGCUAUUCUUAGAAACUAUUCCUGUAAGCAUACGCUUUUGUACAGUUUUUUUUGUUAAUUCCUAUGUAUUAGCUUUGACUUUCUUCAGUUCCGACGUUAAGUACCUCGAUCCUUUUCAGUAUGCUGAAGGUUGAAAAUGAGGCUGUCACUAUGAAGAAUAUUUGCCGUUAAGUUUAAAUUCCUUGUUAAAGGUUCAGUAAGAUACUUGAAUAUUGUCGAUGUCAAACUGCAUGUAUACAUGACGAUAGAUUGAAGAAUUAUGUGCUGAUAUCUUCCAAUGUUGGUUUAACUACAUAUGCUUUGCUUAGAGGUUUUCUAGAUAAAAAUAAGGGAUGAUAGGUUUUUGACAAACUUGAUUCUAAAGUGAAUGCUCACCUAAAGGCUUAAUAUAUAGAUACAGUGCUUCCAUCACUUGGGUAAGUUGAAUGCAAAUUUGCACACUUUUCUCUACUAUUAUGAAAUAUGUUCGGAG